GAUUUACAGUUUCACAUCUCCCGACUUCUCUCUCAUAAAAAAGUGACUAUGUUUCUUCAAAACUCUGCCACCAUUGACGGUUUCACGAAAGAUCUAUAGGUCAUGCCUUCACCAAUAUGAGGCUCUUCAAGCCAAAACAUGGGCGAGAGACAGAGCCAAGCAAGAAGAGAUCCGUGGCAAACAGAAAAAGAAACUAUGCAGU